GCCGGUGUAGCUCAGGGGUAGAGUACUUCCUUGGUAAGGAAGGGGUCACGGGUUCAAAUCCCGUCAUUGGCU
rnacentral:tRNA from 3 species